GGGCCUAUAGUUUAGUGGCAGAACAACGGCCUCCAAAUCCGUUGGUCGAGGUUCGAUUCCUCGUGGGCCCG
rnacentral:tRNA from 1 species